rnacentral:rRNA from 1 species
AACGAACGCUGGCGGCGUGCCUAACACAUGCAAGUCGAGGGAGAAAAGGAGCUUCGGCUCCCCAGUAAACCGGCGCACGGGUGAGUAACACGUAGGUAACGUACCUUGGAGCCCGGGAUAACCAGUCGAAAGACUGGCUAAUACCGGAUACGACCAUGGAAGCUCCGGCUUCUGUGAGAAAAGGAGCAAUCCACUUCAGGAUGGGCCUGCGUCCUAUCAGCUAGUUGGUGGGGUAAUGGCCUACCAAGGCGAAAGCGGGUAGCCGGUCUGAGGGGAUGAACGGCCACACUGGAACUGAGACACGGUCCAGACUCCUACGGGAGGCAGCAGUGGGGAAUUUUGCGCAAUGGGGGAAACCCUGACGCAGCGACGCCGCGUGGAGGACGAAGGCCUUCGGGUUGUAAACUCCUUUAGUGCGGGAAGAAGCCGCAAGGUGACGGUACCGCAAGAAUAAGCCACGGCUAACUCCGUGCCAGCCGCCGCAGUAAUAC